rnacentral:rRNA from 1 species
AAAACUUCACAAUGUGGGAAACCACGAUGAGGGGAUUCCGAGUGCUAACGCAUUUGCGUUAGCUGUUCUCAUGCCUAAAAAGCAUGAGAAGUAAGGGCCGGGUAAGACGGGUGCCAGCCGCCGCGGUAAUACCCGCGGCCCGAGUGGUGCUUGAUAUUAUUGAGCCUAAAACGCCCGUAGCCGGUUCUGUAAAUCCAUGGGUAAAUCGAACAGCUCAACUGUUCGAAGUCCGCGGACACUGCAGAACUCGGGACUGGGAGAGGUCAGAGGUACUUCUGGGGUAGGGGUAAAAUCCUGUAAUCCUGGAAGGACCACCAGUGGCGAAGGCGUCUGACUAGAACAGAUCCGACGGUGAGGGACGAAGCCCUGGGGCGCAA